rnacentral:rRNA from 1 species
UACGUAGGGGGCAAGCGUUGUCCGGAAUUAUUGGGCGUAAAGAGUGUGUAGGCGGUGUUCCAAGUUCGGUGUGAAAUCUCCCGGCUUAACUGGGAGGGUGCGCCGAAAACUGGAAUGCUCGAGCGUGGGAGAGGAAAGCGGAAUUCCUGGUGUAGCGGUGAAAUGCGUAGAUAUCAGGAGGAACACCAGCGGUGUAGACGGCUUUCUGGACCAUUGCUGACGCUGAGACACGAAAGCGUGGGUAGCAAACAGG